rnacentral:rRNA from 1 species
GACGAACGCUGGCGGUGUGCUUAACACAUGCAAGUCGAACGGUAAGGCCCUUUCGGGGGUACACGAGUGGCGAACGGGUGAGUAACACGUGAGUAACCUGCCCUCAUCUCUGGGAUAACAGUCGGAAACGGUUGCUAAUACUGGAUAUGAGCUUGCAAGGCAUCUUGUGGGUUGGAAAGAUUUUUUUUGGUUGGGGAUGGACUCGCGGCCUAUCAGCUUGUUGGUGAGGUAGUGUCUCACCAAGGCUUCGACGGGUAGCCGGCCUGAGAGGGCGACCGGCCACAUUGGGACUGAGAUACGGCCCAAACUCCUACGGGAGGCAGCAGUGGGGAAUAUUGCACAAUGGACGGAAGUCUGAUGCAGCAACGCCGCGUGCGGGAUGACGGCCUUCGGGUUGUAAACCGCUUUCAAUUGUGACGAAGCUUUUUUGUGACGGUAGCAGUAGAAGAAGCACCGGCUAACUACGUG